CCCCUAGAUGUUCUGGGCCGCACGCGCGCUACACUGAACAGUUCAACAAGUCUUAACCUUGGCCGAUAGGUCUGGGUAAUCUUUGAACGCUGUUCGUGAUUGGGAUAGACCUUUGCAAUUAUGGGUCUUCAACGAGGAAUUCCUAGUAAACGCAAGUCAUCAGCUUGCAUUGAUUACGUCCCUGCCCUUUGUACACACCGCCCGUCGCACCUACCGAUUGAAUGGUCCGGUGAAUAAUUCGGACUGCAGCAGUGCUUGGUCCUCCGGGCUUUGCAGCGGAAAGUUUAGUGAACCUUAUCACUUAGAGGAAGGAGAAGUCGUAACA
rnacentral:rRNA from 1 species